AGAAAAUUGUCUAAGAAUGCUAAAAAUGCAAGGGCUCCUUUUGGAUGCCUUUACAGACUCAGAGCCAACAUGCCUCCAUCUAAUCCCAAUUCAAUUCACCCAUUUAAAAUCCAGCUCAGUCAGAUGGUCUUAGCUCCAAACUUUCACUUUACUACAAAUUUACUCAGAAAUUAAUUUGGAAAAAGAGACGGAUUCUUUACCACUGAGCUACCAGGGAACCCCUGGAAUGUGUUUUUACCAUGUGGAAAUCAGCGUUUGUGACUACUCCUCAGAUCCUACAUUCAAGCAUCGGUCCAGACACGGAGUGUCCCCCAAGUGUCGCCUCUGCAGGCACAUCGUUGCAGAUGGUGGGCAGAUAACCUGGAGCAAAGCUCAGCCUUGGAAUUCCUGUGGCUUCGUGAAGCUCUGAGAAGAAUUAAACAUUAAGGACAUUUAUGACCUGUAAAAUGUAUCCUUUAGGGGCUGGACCUGCAACUUUGGGGCAAUAAUUACAUGUGAGAGCAAAAUACAAAGAACACAGCUUGGAUGCAGUGCCUCUGAGCACUCCAGAAAUGAAUAGCGAUUUUAAUCAGGCAUUUAAUCAAACAUUGGGCAAUUAUCCAAAGUAUUUGCCCCUUUAUUCCACCGCC
rnacentral:lncRNA from 1 species